GAUGAACGCUAGCGAUAGGCUUAACACAUGCAAGUCGAGGGGCAGCAUGGUCUUAGCUUGCUAAGACUGAUGGCGACCGGCGCACGGGUGCGUAACGCGUAUGCAACUUGCCUCACAGAGGGGGAUAACCCGUCGAAAGACGGACUAAUACCGCGUACACUUGGGAUAGGGCAUCCUGACCCAAGGAAAUGAAAUUCGCUGUGAGAUAGGCAUGCGUCCCAUUAGCUAGUUGGUGAGGUAACGGCUCACCAAGGCGACGAUGGGUAGGGGAACUGAGAGGUUGAACCCCCACACUGGUACUGAGACACGGACCAGACUCCUACGGGAGGCAGCAGUGAGGAAUAUUGGUCAAUGGGUGAGAGCCUGAACCAGCCAAGUCGCGUGAAGGAUGACUGUCUUAUGGAUUGUAAACUUCUUUUAUACGGGAAUAACAAGAGCCACGUGUGGCUCCCUGCAUGUACCGUAUGAAUAAGCAUCGGCUAACUCCGUG
rnacentral:rRNA from 1 species